AUUGAACGCUGGCGGCAGGCCUAACACAUGCAAGUCGAGCGAGCGGCGGACGGGUGAGUAACGUCUGGGAAACUGCCUGAUGGAGGGGGAUAACUACUGGAAACGGUAGCUAAUACCGCAUACCAUCAGAUGUGCCCAGAUGGGAUUAGCUAGUUGGUGGGGUAAUGGCUCACCUAGGCGACGAUCCCUACCUGGUCUGAGAGGAUGACCAGCCACACUGGAACUGAGACACGGUCCAGACUCCUACGGGAGGCAGCAGUGGGGAAUAUUGCGCAAUGGGCGCAAGCCUGAUGCAGCAAUGCCGCGUGUGUGAAGAAGGCCUUCGGGUUGUAAAGCACUGUCAUCAGGGAGGCGUUACCCGCAGAAGAAGCACCGGCUAACUCCGUGCCAGCAGCCGCGGUAAUAC
rnacentral:rRNA from 1 species